CAGCAGCCGCGGGAAUACGGAGGGUGCAAGCGUUAAUCGGAAUUACUGGGCGUAAGGCGCACGUAGGCGGCUUGGUAAGUUAGAGGUGAAAGCCCGGAGCUCAACUCCGGAAUUGCCUUUAAGACUGCCGAGCUAGUAGGUGAGAGAGGUAAGUGGAAUUCCGAGUGUAGAGGUGAAAUUCGUAGAUAUUCGGAAGAACACCAAUGGCGAAGGCGGCUUACUGGCUCAUUCUAGACGCUGAGGUGCGAAAGCGUGGGGAGCAAACAGGAUUAGAUACCCCAGUAGUCCCUGUCUCUUAUAC
rnacentral:rRNA from 1 species